UGAGCUAUGAGGAUAGAAAUUUGACCGUGAUAAAUCAUGACGACAUGUAUACGCUAUUCUGAGCCAUGC
ensembl:snoRNA small nucleolar RNA, C/D box 54